ncrna:unclassified sequences Betaproteobacteria-1 RNA
CGCGCGCCGGGACGGGGACUACACACCAGCAGGCGCGGGAUAGCCGUACUGGGGGAAAGGUCUUGAGAUACGGCAGGGGGCGGCGAAGCUAGCACCCCCAAGACCACAUGGCUGGCGGGC